rnacentral:hammerhead_ribozyme from 1 species
AUCCAGCUGACGAGUCCCAAAUAGGACGGAAAUGUGCAUCCUGGAU